CACAACCUUGCUUUAAAACAGAAAUGAAGAAAAAAAAAUUAACAUCACAGGACAAAGAAAAGACCAGAUAUCAGAUGUUUUCUGUACCAAAAGGUGAUUUUCCCUUCUUCACAUAGAAGCAAUUUGAAAAUCUGACCAAACAUUCAAGAACAGCUCUUCCCUUAUGAGAACCUGGCUUUGUGUUUUCACAUGUAUAUGGGAUGAAGCUCAGGUACAAGUCAACCAAACCAUCUAAUGUAGCAUUUGGUUCCACAAUCUGCUAUAUUGAAGCAGAAUUGAAUAUUUGUGAAUAAUACAGAAAAGAUACAUUAUAGCAAACAGCCACAAAUAAGGAAGAAACAACUAUU